AUAUAUUGGGGACGUCCNGCUGGCCGGCACGCCUAACACAUGACAAGUCGAACGCAGUAGCAAUACUGAGUGGCAAACUGGUGAGUAUAAUGUGGGNAUCUGCCUUUUGGUUUGGAAUAACACGGGGAAACUUGUGCUAAUACCGAAUAAGCCUUUACAGGGAAAGUUUUAAUGCCAAAAGAUGAGCCCGCACUUGAUUAGCUAGUUGGUAAGGUAAAAGCUUACCAAGGCAAUGAUCAAUAGCUGUUCUUAGAGGAAGACCAGCCACAUUGGGACUGAGACACGGCCCAGACUCCUACGGGAGGCAGCAGUGGGGAAUCUUGCACAAUGGGGGAAACCCUGAUGCAGCGAUGCCGCGUGAGUGAAGAAGGCCUUUGGGUUGUAAAACUCUUUCGUCGGGGAAGAAAAUGACUGUACCCGAAUAAGAAGGUCCGGCUAACUUCGUGCCAGCAGCCGCGGUAAUACGAAGGGACCUAGCGUAGUUCGGAAUUACUGGGCUUAAAGAGCUCGUAGGUGGUUAAAAAAGUUGAUGGUGAAAUCCCAAGGCUCAACCUUGGAACUGCCAUCAAAACUUUUUAGCUAGAGUGUGAUAGAGGUAAGUGGGAAUUUUCUAGUGUAGAGGUGAAAUUCCGUCGAUAU
rnacentral:rRNA from 1 species